GAACGUUCUCAGGGCGGGGUGCAACUCCCCACCGGCGGUGAUGGCGCGCAAUGCGUCGAGCCCGCGAGCGCUUGCAAGUCGGCAACGGCCUGCAAGGUCAGCAGACCCGGUGUGAUCCCGGGGCCGACGGUCAUAGUCCGGAUGAAGAGAGAACGGGA
rnacentral:ncRNA from 1 species